rnacentral:lncRNA from 1 species
GUCAGUCCACAGAUGCUCUGAAGGCAAACUAUACUGGCCUGGCUUCGGCCACGUGAGGCCAGUAGGAGGGGAGGGGCAUUGUUCAUGGGACAACUGGAGAAGGUUCUCAGUGGCUACUGAAGUCUAGGGAUUAAGUCUUUGUAGGGCAUUUAUGGUCUCUAGGGGUGAUUUAGGAAAAGUCUAGCCUCCCCCACUCAAGCCACUAAGUGCAGGGUAUAAUUUGUCCUAGGCUGGUUCUCCUUGGAGACUGUAGCCCACUGAUGAUUGAGGGUCAGGGACAGAGGGAGCUGAGCAGAAGCAUUGGAGGCUGUAUCAGGUCUAGCCUGGGGCAUGUAGUCCUUGAACUGUGGACUGAAUUUGAACUACACACAAAACCCUUCCAUAGACAGCCCCAGGUGUGUAGGGGGCUCCAUCUUCAAUCCUUGUCUUACUUUGAUGUCAGAAAUACCAUCACAGAGCUCCUGGGCCCCAUGCAUGGUAGAACCUGUUCCUAUCCCCAGUCCUUGAUCUGAAGCUGAGUGACAGGGAAGGGCUGAGAAAGAAGCCUGAUUCCAAUGUUGAUGCUGCCUAUCGUGGCGUCUCACUUGGGUCUUAUCUCCUGGGUCUGAUCACAGUGACCUUGUAUGCAGGAAGGACUGACAAAACCCACAUGGCAUGGCAGUCCUGUCUUGGAGGGCUCCUCACUCUGAAGGGACAAUGAAUGGCUUUUCUCAGUUCUGCCAUCAGAGAUCAUUCAUGACCAGGCUGACUGAAUCUGGCACUGAGCGAUCCCCAGAACCGCCUACCUGGCAUACCAAGUGAGGGCAGGCCCAGAGAAGAUCCUUCCUAGCUGCAGCUGCUCAUUGCCCUUGGAGAAAAUGCCUCAGAGAGGGUGGUGGUGGUGAGUCAAUAUUUAGCUAUCUUUUACCUUGAAAGCUUGAAUUUCCUGAAAAUGAAUGAAUAUAGAUGAGCUGAUAUGAAGAUAGGUAGGCUCAGGAAAAUUUUUGGCCAAGCCUGGUUUAUCAUGAGAAAAUAAUAAUAGGAAAAAAAAUCACAUACACAUAUAUGUACACACACACACACAAAACAGAUGACAGACAG